AGGGUGUAAACGCUGCAGACUUGGUGUUGGAGGCCCUUUGGGGGCAUUCAGUGCCGGAGAGAAGUUGUUAAGUCUGCUACUUGGGGAGUACGUCCGCAAGGAUGAAACUUAAAGGAAUUGGCGGGGGAGCACCGCAACGGGAGGAGCGUGCGGUUUAAUUGGAUUCAACACCGUAAAACUCACCAGGAAGACUGUUACAUGAAGGCCGAGAUGAAGACUCUGCUAGAUUUUCAGAGAGGAGGUGCAUGGCGUCAGUGACU
rnacentral:rRNA from 1 species